rnacentral:hammerhead_ribozyme from 1 species
AUCUAAAUAACGAGUCCUAAACAGAAUGAAACGCGCGUUCUAGAU